rnacentral:rRNA from 1 species
AUUGAACGCUGGCGGCAGGCCUAACACAUGCAAGUCGAGCGGAUGAAGGGAGCUUUCUCCUGGAUUCAGCGGCGGACGGGUGAGUAAUGCCUAGGAAUCUGCCUGGUAGUGGGGGAUAACGUCCGGCAACGGGCCCUAAUACCUCAUACGUCCUGUGGUUAACGUGGGGGAUCUUCGGUCCUCACGCUAUCUGAUGACCCUAGGUCGUAUUAGCUAGUUGGUAGGGUAAAGGCCUACCAAGGCGACGAUCCGUAACUGGUCUGAGAGGAUGAUCAGUCACACUGGAACUGAGACACGGUCCAGACUCCUACGGGAGGCAGCAGUGGGGAAUAUUGGACAAAGGGCGAAAGCCUGAUGCAGCAAUGCCGCGUGAGUGAAGAAGGUCUUCGGAUUGUAAAGCACUGUAAGUAGGGAGGAAGGGCAGUAAGUUAAAACCUUGCUGUUUUGACGUUACCAACAGAAAAAGCAACGGCUAACUUCGUG